CGGCCCAAGCCCGUACACUUAGCUAACAAAGGCCCUGGACAUGGGCUUGAAAAAGCCCGGCCCAGGCCCGCUGUUUGCCAUCCCUAAGUAUAACAUAUGUAACAUCAAGGGUGUUUUAAGACUUUUUUCAAAUAUAAGGAUUAAACAUGCAUUUAUCCUUAAUGGUAAAACAAUUAUACCUUAAACAGUAAUUUUUUAAAACGUUUUAUCUUUAACCAUUCACCUAAUUUUGACCAGAAAAUUAAUUAACUCUGUAUUAGGCAACCACAAUAUUAGUUUAGUAAAGAUUGUUGACAAAAUAAACCCCAAUCAAUUAAUGUUCAGCCUCCGUCCCCGUCUUUGAGCUUAUAUAUUAUAAGUCAAUGUAGGAUUAUCUCAUUCAAUCUUCCUUUAUGUGCAAAUAAAUCUUUUUGUCUGAUUCUUAUCACAUAAUCUACUCAUGAAGGAAUUUAAAUUUGAUAUAUCAUAUAGAAAUCGGUGAACCAAUACUCUUUUUUUCUUGUUUUUCAUAAUUAAUUUCACGCUGAAUAACGUUGCAAUGCUGAAUGUUGCAAAUUGUACGUUCAGACUCUCGGUGCGCCAAGGAAUUAAACUAUAUAAUGUCGUUGUUUCGUUAAGGUGAGACACAUAAGAUAUGUGGUUGGUAGAGAUGGCCAAUGGACUGUAUCGGUAAGGUCCAUACGUGUUCGUAUCCGUGUCAUGCCGCAUCUAAAUUUUUUUUCUUAAGCCGUGCCGUCUGUGGGCCGUGCUGUGCCUAAGAAAAAAAAUCUAAUAUAUUUUUUUUAAGAGCGCAUGCUAAGUUGUUGGUGUAUUUUGUUCAAGUCUAUGUACUUUUCUUAGGUUUAUACCUUUA
rnacentral:lncRNA from 1 species